GAUGAACGCUGGCGGCGUGCCUAACACAUGCAAGUCGAACGGAGUCGUUUUGGAAAUCUCUUCGGAGAUGGAAUUCUCGACUUAGUGGCGGACGGGUGAGUAACGCGUGAGCAAUCUGCCUUUAAGAGGGGGAUAACAGUCGGAAACGGCUGCUAAUACUGCAUAAAGCAUUAAAUUCGCAUGUUUUUGAUGCCAAAGGAGCAAUCCGCUUUUAGAUGAGCUCGCGUCUGAUUAGCUAGUUGGCGGGGUAACGGCCCACCAAGGCGACGAUCAGUAGCCGGACGGAGGGGUUGAACGGCCACAUUGGGAAUGAGACGCGGCCCAGACUCCUACGGGAGGAAGCAGUGGAGAAUAGUGCGCAAUGGGGGAGACCGUGACGCAGCAACGCCGCGUGAUUGAAGAAGGCCUUCGGGUUGUAAAGAUCUUUAAUCAGGGACGAAACAAAUGACGGUACCUGAAGAAUAAGCUCCGGCUAACUACGUG
rnacentral:rRNA from 1 species